GCGAUUUCGUUUUUGUCAAAGCGUGCCAAGCAUUAUAUAUUACACAAUAAUCUAUUGGGCACUACACUAAGCAGAACAAUUUUGGAAAGAAUGGUACGAACAAAUUCAGAUUCCUUGCUGUGGGGGCAAGCCAUCUGAUACAGGAGCUAAGAAAGAAAACUAGCGGGUCGGAAACUCACGCAGUUCUUGAGCAAGUAGGGCAAAGGAUUGUGGACUGUGGCGCUUCAGAAUUCCCACAUUCAUGAAGUCAAGAUGGGCCCAGUCGACACAACACAACACCAGCUCAUGGAGUACUGCGACGGCUCCAUUUCGUGUAGAUCUGCGACGGAUAUGCAACUGGCGGCGGGGCCACGUCCGCAACAAACAAUAGCCUGAAGGAAGAACAGCCAUCCCCUACCAUCUCACCAUUGGUUAUUGCUGACAUCUACAAAGCCGAGUGUCUUGCCGCUGACCAUUAUCUCGCACAGUGGCAGUAGCAGCACUACUGCUUCGUUGAUGGACAGGGAUAGUGCACACAAUUGGGCGGUACAUGGAUAGGCAUUAGUUCUUUGGGCGGAGGCAAAGACCACCGCCAUUGAAUGUCAAGCCCUUGCCCAGUAGAUUGAUUGGCUUUUCCUCAGGAGCAGCGGAGCAGUGGCUGGAGCUGCACGCCUACUCCAUGGACUGAGCAAAGAUUUAACAAAUUCAUACAGCUCCAGCUGGGGAGCUUGCAGUCACGCACUGUUCUAUUUGCAGUUGCGGUUGCAGCUGCAGUUAUUGCUGAAGCGCCAAACAGCCCGCGCACUAUGCCACCUACUUCCUAUGUUUCUUUAGUUCUUCCGUAACAAUAAAUUCUACAUAAAACACGA